rnacentral:tRNA from 1 species
CCUAAAGUCCUCUAACACA